AAGCAUUGGAUAAUAUUUAUUUAUUUGAAUCUAAACAUGUUACAACGGAAGGAUAUCGUGUUGGUUGUGCUGGAUUUCGUUCUUCGGAGACUACAGGAUGUGACAUGAGUGUUCUAACAAAGUUAUUAUCAAUGUUCGCAACAUAUAAAGCAAAUUUAGAUAAUAUCAACGCUGGUUUAACGCUGGUAUCAAACUUAAGCAACUUAACACCUGCAAUUGACUCAGACUGUUUAUCCAUUCCGGAUUAAAGGAAUUUAUUUUAUUUAUGUGUCUUCAUAUGCAGUUCCCAUUGCUAACAUGGUUAAACUAUUAUUUAAUGAAAAAAAUCAGAAAUAAAGUAAAUUUUUCUGAAAAUUUUGAUUUUUUAAAUAAUUAACGCUUAUUUUUAGAUACAUAU